rnacentral:tRNA from 2 species
GGAGAGGUGGCCGAGUCUGGUCGAAGGCGCAUGACUGGAAAUCAUGUAAUGGGGCAACUCAUUCGCGGGUUCGAAUCCCGCCCUCUCCGCCA